CGCGUAGCAAUACGAGCGGCAGACGGGUGAGUAACGCGUGGGAAUCUACCCAUCUCUACGGAACAACUCCGGGAAACUGGAGCUAAUACCGUAUACGUCCUUUUGGAGAAAGAUUUAUCGGAAAUGGAUGAGCCCGCGUUGGAUUAGCUAGUUGGUGGGGUAAUGGCCUACCAAGGCGACGAUCCAUAGCUGGUCUGAGAGGAUGAUCAGCCACACUGGGACUGAGACACGGCCCAGACUCCUACGGGAGGCAGCAGGG
rnacentral:rRNA from 1 species